rnacentral:rRNA from 1 species
AUUGAACGCUGGCGGCAGGCCUAACACAUGCAAGUCGAGCGAGCGGCGGACGGGUGAGUAAUGUCUGGGAAACUGCCUGAUGGAGGGGGAUAACUACUGGAAACGGUAGCUAAUACCGCAUACCAUCAGAUGUGCCCAGAUGGGAGUAGCUAGUAGGUGGGGUAACGGCUCACCUCGGCGACGAUCCCUAGCUGGUCUGAGAGGAUGACCAGCCACACGGGAAAUGAGAGACGGGGCAGAGGCUGAUGGGAGGCAGCAGAGGGGAAAAUAGCACAAUGGGGGCAAGCGUGAUGCAGGGAUGCGGCGUGUGUGAAGAAGGCCUUCGGGUUGUAAAGCACUUUCAGCGGGGAGGCGUUACCCGCAGAAGAAGCACCGGCUAACUCCGUGCCAGCAGCCGCGGUAAUAC